rnacentral:rRNA from 1 species
UACGUAGGGUGCGAGCGUUGUCCGGAAUUAUUGGGCGUAAAGAGCUUGUAGGCGGUUUGUCGCGUCUGCUGUGAAAAUCCGGGGCUCAACCCCGGACUUGCAGUGGGUACGGGCAGACUGGAGUGUGGUAGGGGAGACUGGAAUUCCUGGUGUAGCGGUGAAAUGCGCAGAUAUCAGGAGGAACACCGGUGGCGAAGGCGGGACUCUGGGCCGAUACUGACGCUGAGGAGCGAAAGCGUGGGGAGCAAACAGG